AUACGUAGGUGGCAAGCGUUAUCCGGAUUUACUGGGCGUAAAGGGCGUGUAGGCGGUCUUGCAAGUCAGAAGUGAAAUUCCUGAGCUCAACUCGGGCGCUGCUUCUGAAACUGCAGGACUUGAGUGCUGGAGGGGUUAGCGGAAUUCCUAGUGGAGCGGUAAAAUGCGCAGAUAUUAGGAAGAACACCGGUGGCGAAGGCGGCUAUCUGGACAGUAACUGACGCUGAGGCGCGAAAGCGUGGGGAGCAAACAGGAUUAGAUACCCCGGUAGUCCUAGCCGUAAACGAUGGAUACUAGGUGUGGGUGUCGCAGGGCAUCCGUGCCGCAGUUAACGCGUUAAGUAUCCCGCCUGGGGACUACGGUCGCAAGACUGAAACUCAAAUGAAUUGACGGGG
rnacentral:rRNA from 1 species